rnacentral:rRNA from 1 species
UACGGAGGGGGCAAGCGUUAUCCGGAAUUAUUGGGCGUAAAGCGCGCGCAGGUGGUUUCUUAAGUCUGAUGUGAAAGCCCACGGCUCAACCGUGGAGGGUCAUUGGAAACUGGGAGACUUGAGUGCAGAAGAGGAAAGUGGAAUUCCAUGUGUAGCGGUGAAAUGCGUAGAGAUAUGGAGGAACACCAGUGGCGAAGGCGACUUUCUGGUCUGUAACUGACACUGAGGCGCGAAAGCGUGGGGAGCAAACAGG